UACCAGCACCCCGAGUGGUCGGGACGUUUAUUGGGCCUAAAGCAUCCGUAGCCGGUUCUGCAAGUCUUCCGUUAAAUCCACCUGCUUAACAGAUGGGCUGCGGAAGAUACUAUGGAGCUAGGAGGCGGGAGAGGCAAGCGGUACUCGAUGGGUAGGGGUAAAAUCCGUUGAUCCAUUGAAGACCACCAGUGGCGAAGGCGGCUUGCCAGAACGCGCUCGACGGUGAGGGAUGAAAGCUGGGGGAGCAAACCGG
rnacentral:rRNA from 1 species